rnacentral:rRNA from 1 species
CCUGGCUCAGGAUGAACGCUGGCGGCGUGCCUAAUACAUGCAAGUCGAACGAGUUCUCGUUGAUGAUCGGUGCUUGCACCGAGAUUCAACAUGGAACGAGUGGCGGACGGGUGAGUAACACGUGGGUAACCUGCCCUUAAGUGGGGGAUAACAUUUGGAAACAGAUGCUAAUACCGCAUAGAUCCAAGAACCGCAUGGUUCUUGGCUGAAAGAUGGCGUAAGCUAUCGCUUUUGGAUGGACCCGCGGCGUAUUAGCUAGUUGGUGAGGUAACGGCUCACCAAGGCGAUGAUACGUAGCCGAACUGAGAGGUUGAUCGGCCACAUUGGGACUGAGACACGGCCCAAACUCCUACGGGAGGCAGCAGUAGGGAAUCUUCCACAAUGGACGCAAGUCUGAUGGAGCAACGCCGCGUGAGUGAAGAAGGCUUUCGGGUCGUAAAACUCUGUUGUUGGAGAAGAAUGGUCGGCAGAGUAACUGUUGUCGGCGUGACGGUAUCCAACCAGAAAGCCACGGCUAACUACGUGCCAGCAGCCGCGGUAAUACGUAGGUGGCAAGCGUUAUCCGGAUUUAUUGGGCGUAAAGCGAGCGCAGGCGGUUUUUUAAGUCUGAUGUGAAAGCCCUCGGCUUAACCGAGGAAGCGCAUCGGAAACUGGGAAACUUGAGUGCAGAAGAGGACAGUGGAACUCCAUGUGUAGCGGUGAAAUGCGUAGAUAUAUGGAAGAACACCAGUGGCGAAGGCGGCUGUCUGGUCUGUAACUGACGCUGAGGCUCGAAAGCAUGGGUAGCGAACAGGAUUAGAUACC